UCUGAAUACCUUCCGGAUCCUGAGGAGGUAUUCUUAGCGCCCAGAAUGCCUGUGCUUAGAAGGUUAUAAAACAGCCGAGGCGAGGCCUGCGUUGUGAAAUCCUCUCAGCGGCCCGACAGCGGAGACGGUUUACACAGCUCCUGCCUGUAACCCGUUGAGCACCGUACAAUCCUAGUGUACCACAUGCUCCAUCCGACAUCGACACUGAGCCAUGUCACAGACCCGUGGGCCAGACACCUGAGACGAGAGUUCCUGUUAUAUAUUAUUCAGGCACUUGGCCUCUACUGUCCUC